rnacentral:misc_RNA from 1 species
UUAAGUUCAGCGGGUAUCCCUACCUGAUCCGAGGUCAACCUGGAAAGAUUGAGGGGGGUCGCCGGCGGGCGCCGGCCGGGCCUACAGAGCGGGUGACAAAGCCCCAUACGCUCGAGGACCGGACGCGGUGCCGCCGCUGCCUUUCGGGCCCGCCCCCCGGGAGCCGGGGGGCGGGGGCCCAACACACAAGCCGUGCUUGA